GGAUCCGGUGUUGCUGGGAGCUGUGGUGUAGGUUGCAGACGUGGCUUGGAUCCUGUGUUGCUGCUGUGGCUGUGGCAUAGACCGGCAGCAACAGCUCCAAUUAGACCCCUAGCCUAGGAACCUCCAUAUGCUGCAGGAGCGGCCCUAGAAAAGGCAAAAAGACAAAAGAAAAACAAACAAACAAACAAAAAACUACAGGGAGUUUCCUUUGUGGCUCAGCAGUAAUGAACCUAACUAGUAUCCAUGAGGAUGAGGUUUCCAUCCCUGGCUUCGCUCAGUGGUUUAAGGAUCUGGCCUUGCUGUGAGCUGUGGUGUAAGGCCAGCAGCUGCAGCUCCGAUUUGACCUCUAGCCUGGGAACUUCCACACCUGUGGCAUAUAGAAGUAACCAGGCUAGAGGUUACAGUCACAGCUACAGCUAGCUGCCAGCCUACACCACAGCUCAUGGCAACACCAGAUCCUUAACCCACUGAGCGAGGUCAGGGAUUGAACCCACAUCCUCGUGGAUACUAGUUGGGUUUGUUUCCACUGAGCUACAAUGGGAACUCCUGGAAAAGAAUUUUGUUAAAAAAGAAUAUAGAAUUCUAACUGGAGUGGGGGAAAAUGAAUCUAGUUGAAAGAUAUAUGAGGGUACAUUAAUCAUACAAUUCUUGUAGUUUUGAAAUUUUUCAAAAUAAAAAGGUGGGAAAAACAAACAAACCACCUUCACUCUACCCAUAUGUUCCUCCAGCUGUCAUUUCACCUUCUAAGUAUCACAAAGAUUCCUCAGAGGUGUCUCUGUUCUAUGUGCUAGUUAAAUGCUUAAUAACUGGCCCUCCAAACAAACAAGAAAGCCCCUGAUUUGUAGUUUUUCUCAAUUCCUAAGGUGUAACUACUUCUGCUAUGGCCAAUUUCAGGCUACUAAAGUGGCGUCAUUAAACAUGGAACUGGUAAGAGAUGCAGCACGCCUAACAUGGUUGAGUUUUUUUGUAAACCAACCAUGUUUUUGGCUGCCCCUCGGCACAUGGAAUUCUUGGGCCAGGGAUCAGACCUUACCCACAGUUGCGACCUCUGCAGUAGUUGUAGCAAUGCCAGAUCUUUUUAACCCACUGUGCUGGGCCAGGGAUCAAACCUAUAUCCUGGUGCUGCAGAGAAGCCUCAGAUCCCAUUGCACCACAAGGGGAACUCCUAAUAUGAUAUUUCCAGCCUAGAGAUGUGAUAUAUAUAAAUAAUCUUGGUAGCAUAGGUAGUAACAUAAUUGUGUUGGGAGUUCCUGUCAUGGCUCAGUGGUUAACGAAUCCGACUAGGAACCAUGAGGUUGCGGGUUCGAUCCCUGGCCUUGCUCAGUGGGUUAAGGAUCUGGCAUUGCCGUGAGCUGUGGUGUAGGUCACAGACGCGGCUCAGAUCCCGCGUUGCUGUGGCUCUGGUGUAGGCUGGUGGUUACGGCUCGGAUUAGACCCCUAGCCUGGGGACUUUCACAUGCCGUAGGAGCAGCCCUAGAAAAAGNAAAAAAAGGAAAAAAAAAAAAAAAAAAAAAAAAAAAAGU
rnacentral:lncRNA from 1 species